UGGACUGCAACAGGAGACUGAGACAGGUGUAUCACCAUGAGUUCAAGGCCAACCUGAUCUAUGUAAGGCCAAGUUCCUGGUUGGAGAAGAGGUGUCCUGUGCAUUGUGUGGUACUUAGCAACACCCCAUGCCUGAUUUCUACUGAGUAGAUACCAAAACUCCUUAAUUGCUGGCCCAGGAGGAUGUCAAACAUGAGGACUGAGCUGCUCUAGGCAGCAGGGGGCCCUGGAGAUGCUGAGGGCAGAGAAGUGAGAUGAGAGAUGCUGGCCUGAAGAACAGGUAGCAUCCUCUAAGAGCUGGUCAGAAUAUGGACUAGAUGUUUGGGCAUUUUGCACAUAUGCUGCUUCGAUUUCCUGAGUCUGGUUCUGGCAUUUCUAUCUCUCUGCCAGAAUCUGGUGAGUGAUGCAAGGCCAGGGAUUGAGAAGUGGAGGAAGGUGGUAGAAGUUAAAAUCCUCUACGUGCUUUGGAUAGCCAAGUUCUCAUUUGUGACAGAGCUUUAUAUGUCCAUAACACAUGUAAAUAUUGGGGAAGUAGGUUCAGAAAUUUAAAAAUAAAAACAAAACAUUGAGGCCAUUUUGUUUCCUGUCUUACAACCCAGUUGAAGGGGGGAAAAGGAGCAGUGAGCCCAGCCAGCACAGAGGUGAUCCAACUACGCCUCAUCCGGGGAUGUCUGCAAGGAAGUUAAUGAUGUUAAUAUAAAGAUUACUACUGUACUUGUAUUAUUUGUAUUAUAGUUUGCAUGGUUUCCAAUAAAGGAUGAAAAGAUUUUAAACCAA